rnacentral:sRNA from 1 species
AAGGAAUUUAUGCAAACAGAAGCAUUGUGUUUGUAGAAUCUUCCCUUCCUUAAUGUCCAAAAGCAAAAUGGGAUGAUGAACAGUCUUCUCCACUAAGAAAGGAAGGAGGCUACAGUCAUCCUUACAUUG